rnacentral:misc_RNA from 1 species
GCCCUCGGUUUCGUGGAGAACAUGCUCUUCGGCGUUAUCCAACCGGAGAGGAGCGCUGCAUUGCUUGCAAGCUGUGUGAAGCUAUAUGCCCAGCACAAGCAAUCACUAUUGAAGCAGAGGAAAGAGAAGAUGGCAGUCGCCGUACUACAAGGUAUGACAUCGACAUGACAAAAUGCAUCUACUGUGGGUUCUGUCAGGAGGCAUGCCCUGUGGAUGCUAUAGUUGAAGGCCCUAACUUUGAGUUUGCGACAGAAACUCAUGAGGAGUUGCUGUACGACAAGGAGAAGCUGCUGGAGAAUGGUGACAGAUGGGAAACUGAGAUAGCAGAGAAUCUCCGAU